CCAGACGGCCGGAUGGCCGCUCUCCGCCUUCGGGGGAGGGAGGAAAGUCCGGGCUCCACGGAGGUACGGUGCCGGGUAACGCCCGGCGGGGGCGACCCCAGGGAAAGUGCCACAGAAAGUACACCGCCGGUCCGUGUCGGAACACCGGGCGCCCGGCAAGGGUGAAACGGUGCGGUAAGAGCGCACCGCGCCGCCGGCAACGGCGGCGGCAGGGAAAACCCCACCGGGAGCAAGACCAAGUAGGAGCGGCAGGCAUCCCGCUCGCGGGAAUGCCGGGCGGACCUUCGCGCCGCCGCUCGGGUCGGUCGCACGAGACGCUCGGCGACGGGCGUCCCAGAGGAAUGGCCAUCCCCACUCCGAGGACCAGCUCCUCAGGGCGGGACAGAACCCGGCUUACACGCCGUCUGGCGCU
rnacentral:RNase_P_RNA from 1 species